rnacentral:tRNA from 1 species
UCCUCUUUAGCUCAGUUGGUAGAGCAGCGGACUGUUAAUCCGUUGGUCGCAGGUUCGAGUCCUGCAGGAGGAG